rnacentral:rRNA from 1 species
CAGUAGCCACGGGAAUACGAAGGGGGCUAGCGUUGUUCGGAAUCACUGGGCGUAAAGCGCACGCAGGCGGUCUGACAAGUCAGAUGUGAAAUCCCCGGGCUUAACCUGGGAACUGCAUUUGAAACUGUCAGGCUGGAGUCUUGUAGAGGGGGGUAGAAUUCCAGGUGUAGCGGUGAAAUGCGUAGAGAUCUGGAGGAAUACCGGUGGCGAAGGCGGCCCCCUGGACAAAGACUGACGCUCAGGUGCGAAAGCGUGGGGAGCAAACAGGAUUAGAUACCCCGGUAGUCCCUGUCUCUUAUAC